rnacentral:rRNA from 1 species
GGAAAGCACUCUGGACAGACUGCCUCGCUUCAACGAGGAGGAAGGUGGGGAUGACGUCAAGUCAGGAUGGCCCUUACGGCCAGGGCUGCACACGUACUACAAUGCCCGGCACAAUGGGAUGCAAAGCCGCAAGGUCGAGCAAAUCCAGAAAAACCGGGCUCAGUUCAGAUUGUCGGCUGCAAUUCGCCGACAUGAAGCUGGAAUCGCUAGUAAUGGCGCAUCAGCUACGGCGCCGUGAAUACGUUCCCAGGCCUUGUACACACCGCCCGUCACAUCAUGAAAGCCGUUUGUACCCGAAGUCAGCAUGCCAACCGCAAGGGGGUAGUUGCCGAAGGUAUGAAUGGUGAUUGGGAUGAAGUCGUAACAAGGUAGCCGUAGGGGAACCUGCGGCUGGAUCACCUCCUUU